ACAAGCGGUGGAGCAUGUGGUUUAAUCGAAGCAACGCGAAGAACCUUACAGGUCUUGACAUCCCGAUGCUAUUUCUAGAGAUAGAAAGUUACUUCGGUACAUCGGUGACAGGUGGUGCAUGGUUGUCGUCAGCUCGUGUCGUGAGAUGUUGGGUUAAGUCCCGCAACGAGCGCAACCCCUAUUGUUAGUUGCCAUCAUUCAGUUGGGCACUCUAGCGAGACUGCCGGUAAUAAACCGGAGGAAGGUGGGGAUGACGUCAAAUCAUCAUGCCCCUUAUGACCUGGGCUACACACGUGCUACAAUGGUUGGUACAACGAGUUGCGAGUCGGUGACGGCGAGCUAAUCUCUUAAAGCCAAUCUCAGUUCGGAUUGUAGGCUGCAACUCGCCUACACGAAGUCGGAAUCGCUAGUAAUCGCGGAUCAGCACGCCGCGGUGAAUACGUUCCCGGGCCUU
rnacentral:rRNA from 1 species